UACAGAGGUCUCAAGCGUUGUUCGGAUUCAUUGGGCGUAAAGGGUGCGUAGGCGGCGCGGUAAGUCGGGUGUGGAAAUCUCGGGGCUUAACUCCGAAACUGCAUUCGAUACUGCCGUGCUUGAGGACUGGAGAGGAGACUGGAAUUUACGGUGUAGCGGUGAAAUGCGUAGAUAUCGUAAGGAAGACCAGUGGCGAAGGCGGGUCUCUGGACAGUUCCUGACGCUGAGGCACGAAGGUCAGGGGAGCAAACGGG
rnacentral:rRNA from 1 species